GCUCUUCCGAUCUGGAGCCGAAGCGAAAGCGAGUCUGAAGAGGGCGCCAAGUCGGGGGGGGUAGACGCGAAACCGAGUGAUCUACCCUUGGCCAGGUUGAAGGUUGGGUAACACCAACUGGAGGACCGGAUGGGUAAGCGUUGAAAAGCUUUCCAAUGAGCUGAGGGUAGGGGUGAAAGGCUAAUCAAACUCGGAGAUAGCUCGUACUCCCCGAAAUGCAUUUAGGUGCAGCCUCUUUAUAGUAUAUCGUGAGGUAGAGCGACUGAUUGGAUGCGAGGGCUUCACCGCCUAUCAAGUCCAGAUAAACUCCGAAUGCGCGAUAUAUAUUUACAGGGAGUGAGGGCGCGGGUGCUAAGGUCCGUGUCCGAGAGGAGAAGAAUCCAGACCACCGGCUAAGGCCCCCAAAUGAUCGUUAAGUUGAACUAACGAGGUCGGAUCGCAGAGACAGCUAGGAUGUUGGCUUGGAAGCAGCCAUUCAUUUAAAGAGUGCGUAACAGCUCACUAGUCGAGCGAUCUGGCGUGGAUAAUAAUCGGGCAUAAACGAUCUGCCGAAGCCGUGGAUGUCGCAAGACAUGGUAGGGGAGCAUUCCAUGCGGCGUCGAAGAUGAGGGAUGACCCUUGUUGGAGCGCAUGGAAAAGCAAAUGUAGGUAUGAGUAACGAUAAGGGGGGCGAGAAACCCCCCCGCCGAAAGACCAAGGUUUCCUGAUCAACGCUAAUCGGAUCAGGGUGAGUCGGGACCUAAGGCAAAGCCGAACGGCGCCGCCGAUGGAAGAAUGGGUUAAUAUUCCCAUACUGCCUCAUGGAGUGACGUGGAGACGGAGAAGUGACAGUCCUGCCGGCUGACGGAAUAGCCGGUUGAAGGGUGUAGAUAUUGAUUCCCGUAGGCAAAUCCGCGGGGAGAGUCGAACCUGAGAGUAUACGGAGCGCUUGCGCGACGUAAUAUGGACGUAACCAUGCUCCCGAGAAAAUCCGCUAAACUUAUCCAUGCGGCACCCGUACCGUAAACGGACACACGUGGUCGGGUUGAGAAUACUGAGGCGCUCGAGUGAUUCACGGUUAAGGAACUAGGCAAAUUGACCCUGUAACUUCGGGAUAAAGGGUCCUCGUCGUAAGGCGAGGCGCAGAGAAUAGGUCCAGGCAACUGUUUAACAAAAACACAUGGCUGUGCUAAAUGGAAACAUGACGUAUACAGCCUGACACCUGCCCGGUGCCGGAAGGUUAAGAGGAGAUGUCAUCCGCGAGGAGAAGCGUUGAAUUGAAGCCCCGGUAAACGGCGGCCGUAACUAUAACGGUCCUAAGGUAGCGAAAUUCCUUGUCGGGU
rnacentral:rRNA from 1 species